AAAAAGGUUUGCGUACGUAAAUGCAAAAGUUGUGCAUGUAAAAUAAAUACAUUCUUGUUUGUUUUAAAAGGGAUGAUGCGCCUGAUUAUAGAGUUUCUAAUACAUUGUCAUUCCAAAACUACCAUUAUGAAUACAAUAUUCAUUACAUUUCCUAAAACCCAAAUCUUGACCAAAAUUACAGUACAACACAAACUUUUUGUUUUACACGUAAUCGAGAACUACUUUAUUUCCAAAAGCUCCCCAGGAUCAAGUUUCGCUUCGUUCCAGCUUGCACAUACCGUACCGUCAUGACCUGCAAAAAGAUAAAAGCUUAAAUAAAAAAUUCUUAUUGCCAUAAGCACUUAACAGCUGAAAACAGUUAAAAUAAUUUAAUUAAGAGAAUGGUUUGCACAUGGGACCACAAAUGAGGAUUGGGCGAAGGAUGGAAAUUCCAUCACCAAGCAGUGGUAAUACCACCCGCGACCUCCCACCACUCACAGAAGAAUCCCACAAAGAUAGGGAUUGUACCAUCCAAAAAAAUCUACAAAAGAUUACAGCUCACCCCACUCUCAACGAUUUUUCGCACGAGUCAAUGAAAAUCCUAAAAAACGAACGAUUUCCACACGUAUCUCAUUUUCGAAUUCAUGCCUUAUAAAUACGACCACCACGUCAUUCGCAGGGGGGAUCUGAACGUUACGCUGCAGAAAUUAUUCACACCUAACCAACACUAGAGCUCAUUUUCCCCGUUAACCGCUCAAACUCAUCAUCAGAGUUUGAGCAAGGUUGAUCUAUAAACCAAAUCUCAGGCAAAGAAAGAGUAGGAGGCAACCCUAAAGAAAUCAGAGUAGAACUGCAUUACCUUCGAGUUUCAUUGUUGGAGUCUCUCCGAAUAGGUAGCCUUGAGUUUCUUCUUACCUCUUUUUAAAUUUGGCUUGAUGUAGAGCUUUUCUCACUGACCCUUUUUCUCUUGGAAAUUUCUUGAGACUUCUUCGAUUUCGGUUUUAAUUUUGAUUUUGUGUGAGCUAGGUUUUUUCCGUGUUAGGAAUCCCGAUCUGGGGUUUUGUUCGGGUUUUUGGUGGAUUU
rnacentral:lncRNA from 1 species